UCUCCGUAGGUGAACCUGCGGAGGGAUCAUUACAGAGCUCAUGCCCUACCGGGUAGAUCUCCCACCCUAUGUUAUUAUUACUUUGUUGCUUUGGCGGGCCGUUAGGCUCCGGCCCGACUACCGGCCCCGGCUGGUAAGCGCCCGCCAGAGGGCCCAAAACCCUGAAUAUUAGUGUCGUCUGAGUACUAUAUAAUAGUUAAAACUUUCAACAACGGAUCUCUUGGUUCUG
rnacentral:misc_RNA from 1 species